ACGAACGCUGGUGGCGUGCUUAACACAUGCCCGUCGAACGGAAAGGCCCUGCUUUUGUGGGGUGCUCGAGUGGCGAACGGGUGAGUAACACGUGAGAACCUGCCCUUGACUUUGGGAUAACUUCAGGAAACUGGGGCUAAUACCGGAUAGGAGCUCCUGCUGCAUGGUGGGGGUUGGAAAGUUUCGGCGGUUGGGGAUGGACUCGCGGCUUAUCAGCUUGUUGGUGGGGUAGUGGCUUACCAAGGCUUUGACGGGUAGCCGGCCUGAGAGGGUGACCGGCCACAUUGGGACUGAGAUACGGCCCAGACUCCUACGGGAGGCAGCAGUGGGGAAUAUUGCACAAUGGGCGGAAGCCUGAUGCAGCAACGCCGCGUGCGGGAUGACGGCCUUCGGGUUGUAAACCGCUUUCGCCUGUGACGAAGCGUGAGUGACGGUAAUGGGGAAAGAAGCACCGGCUAACUACGU
rnacentral:rRNA from 1 species